UUCUGUCCAGCUGUCUGAUCACCGGCUGAGCCACUCCUCCCACUCCUCCAGCAGCCGCCGCUAUAACCAUACCCCACUGCCACAUACCCCCACCGCCCGACUUAGGCCAGGAUCCCACUGGCCGCAAGCCCACUCCCCCCCCCUCCACGAAGUGAGAGAGAAAGUCAGCCACGACCAUGCGGUUACCCGGCCUAUGGAUCACCUCGAACCGGAAGGGCUGUAACGCCAGAUACCAGUGAGUGAUCCGUGCAUUGGCAUCUUUCAUGCAGUGGAGCCAUUGGAGCGGGGCAUGGUCCGACCAGAGGGUGAAUGUGCGCCCCAGGAAGUAGUAGCGGAGGGCCCCAACCGCCCACCGUAUGGUGAGGCACUCUUUCUCCACCGUACUGUAGUUCACCUCCCGCUGAGCCAGCUUUCGGCCAAUGUACAGUACAGGGCGGUCGAUCCCCUCCACCUCCUGUGACAAAACACCACCCAGCCCGCUGUUCGAGGUGUCGGUCUGCAGGAUGAAAGGGAGAGAAAAGUUAGGUGUGUACAAAAGUGGCUCCCCACAGAGGGCUCGCUUUACUUUUCUCAAACCCCAGCUGACAAGGCUCAGUCCACUGAACCGGAUCUGAGGCAACCCUUUCGGUUCAGGUCGGUUAGGGGGCUGGUCAGCUCCAAGAAAGCUGGAAUGAACCUUCUAUAGUAACCAGCCAGCCCCAGAAACCACCUGACCUCUUUUUUUGUCUUGGGUUUUGGGCAGGCUGCAAUCGCUGCCAUCUUUUGUAUCUGUGGACGCACCUGCCCGCCCCCCAAGUGGUACCCCAAAUACCGUACCUCCCUCCGUCCAAAAGCACACUUCCCCGGAUUGGCCGUGAGCCCUGCCUUUCUCAGGGACUCAAGCAAACUAUGAAUGAUGACGUCAUCCAAGUAGGCCGCAGCAUAUGCAGAGUGAGGCCGCAGCACCCGGUCCAUGAGGCGCUGAAAUGUAGCUGGGGCCCCGAACAACCCGAAUGGAAGUGUGACAAAUUGGUACAAACCAUACGGAGUGGAGAAGGCCGUCUUUUCCCUGGACUCUAGCAACAAGGGAAUCUGCCAGUAGCCCUUGAUCAAUUCAGUGUCCAGCCAAUCCAGGAGUUCGUCGACCCGGGGCAUUGGAUUCGCAUCGAAUUUGGACACCUCGUUGACCCUACGAUAGUCCACACAGAACCGUACUGACCCAUUGGACUUGCGCACCAGCACGAUGGGGCAACACCAGUCACUGUUGGAUUCUUCUAUUACCCCCAUCUCCAACAUAGCCCGAAGCUCUGCCUGAACAAUUUUUCUCUUGUGUUCUGGCAGCCGAUAGGGCCGUGAACGCACUGUCAGGCCCGGGGGUGUUUCUAUGUGGCAGGGGAGAGAACACGUCACCAAACCGCCGCUGCAACGAGGCCGCGUCUGUUCUCUGGCCCUGCAAGAGAUAGUCGUCAACGGGGACUGGCGCUGACUGGUUCGAAUUAGUCACCUCCGGCCCUAACUCGUCCCUCUCUAUUACCGUGGUAGCCAGAGAAACAGCCGCCACCUCCCUCCAGGCUUUGAGGAGGUUGAGGUGGUAAAUCUGCGUUGCUCCGCCCUUGUCAGAACGCACAACCUCAUAGUCAACAUCCCCCACUCGCCGUGUGACCACAAAGGGCCCUUGGACGCUGUUGACAUUCCUGGGCCUGGAGCAAAUUCUCCCAUGAUAACUGACCCAGUGAAUUUAGUUUUGCCCGCAGGUCCAGGACGUACUGUACCUCAUUUUUGCUGGUGCUUGGACCCGCCUCCCAGUUUUCCUUAACCAGGUCCAAGACACCCCGAGGUUUUCUGCCGAACAGGAGUUCAAACGGAGAAAAUCCUGUGGAGGCCUGGGGAACCUCCCGCACCGCAAACAACAGAGGGUCCAACCAGUUAUCCCAAUUACGGCUAUCCUCGUGUAAAAACUUACGAAUCAUGUUCUUUAGUGUCUUGUUAAACCGCUCCACCAGGCCGUCGGUCUGGGGAUGGUAGACACUAGUCCGGAUUGAGCGGACGUCCAGUAAUUCGUAUAGCUCGCAUAGUGUACGUGACAUAAAUGAUGUGCCCUGAUCAGUCAGGAUCUCUUUCGGGAUCCCAACUCGGGAGUUAACUUGAAACAGUGCCUGCGCAACACUCUUUGCAGAGAUAUUGCGCAGGGGCACUGCUUCAGGAUAACGCGUCGCAUAGUCCACUAGGACUAACACAAAGCGAUAUCCCCGUGCGUUCCGGUCUAAUGGCCCGAUGAGGUCCAUGGCAAUUCUAUCAAAAGGGACCUCAAUUAGUGGUAAUGAGCGCAACGGCGCUUUUGGGGUGGCCGGUGGAUUGACUAACUGGCCUUCACGGCAGGAUGCACACCACCGACUUACAUCCGCCCGAAUGUCCGGCCAGUAAAAUCGGGCCAUGAUCCGGUUCAGUGUUUUAUCAUAUCCCAGGUGGCCAUGGGGUUGUGAUGAGCCGCCUGGAAAAUUGUUUCGCGACGGCUUUUCGGUACCAAUAACUGGGUGAGCUCUUCUCCGGUCCGAGGGUCACGACUCGCUUUGUAUGGUCUGUCCCUAAUGAUGACAAAGUAGAGGUGAAUGAGUACUGUGUUAGAAGAUUGAAGGGUGUGUGAGGCGAGUACUAACUCCAGCCUUGACUCUAUGUUUUCGCCCUUUAAAAUAAAUUUCCAGAGCCACCACUGGAAAAUCGUGAAUAUCCCCAUGCACACACCUCACCCUCACCCACGAUGCCUCUAACAAUGCCCCGGGUCAAACCAGAUGCUGGUGGAUCAUGGUCUGUUCACAACCAGAAUCCAGCAGAGCCUAGUGUGUACCCCUCUGUAUACAUACCGGUAUACGGUACGUCCCUUCCGAACCGGGGGAGGGGGCCGGCGGCCCAGCAACCCAAACCACUUGCCGCACCUCCAUGAGAGGGCACUCUGCCCGGAUGUGGCCGGGCUGCCAACACCGCCAGCACACCUGCCCUGGCGUCUGAGGAGCCCCCCGGGAUGCCGAGUGAUCAGACAUGUAGGCUGGGCCCUGUGGGACAGAAGGCAGAGGGUUAUUAACGGACCGGAGCAAUGCAUGCUCCGGGUGUGUGUGUGUGUGUGUGUGUGUGUGUGGUGCAGGGGCUGGUGUGGCUGUCGCUGAUAAUCUCUUCCUUGGGGCUGGAGUGGGACGGCCAGUGGGAAUCUCCUCUGGCUUGGCCUCCUCCCUCAUGCUCCACCGGGGAAGGGAGAGGUGGUCUUCUGCGAGUACGACCACUGCCUCGAUGUUGGGGGGACGGUGGCACUGGACCCAAUUAGAAGUGGACGAUGGUAACCCAGCGAUGAACUGCUGUCCCACGACGUCCUCUGCAGAGUUGGUCCCCGGUUGGAGUCAGCGCCUCGCUGCAUCCAGGAGCUGCUGCGCGUAUGCAAAGGGGCGGCCGGCUUCUUCAAAAGAGAGUCCCCUGAACCGCCACCGGUGUCCCUCCGGAGUCCUGCCCAGCCGGUCCUAAAUGGCUCUCUUCAGCUGGGCGAAGUUGUGACGUGCGGCCGCUGGCAGACUGUGCGCAGCCAGCUGCGCCACCCCGGUGAUAGUUCAGAGGUCACUGUCAGCUCGCUCAGUGUCUCAUGUGUUCAUGUGGAUUUCAGUGUUCAUAGGUGAUAGUUCAGAGGUCACUGUCAGCUCGCUCAGUGUUUCACGUGUGUUUCAUGUAUUCAUAGGUAAUAGUUCAGAGGUCACUGUCAGC